rnacentral:lncRNA from 1 species
GCUUUGAAUAUAUUGAAGCUCCACAGACCCCACAGCCAAGUGAAGAAGAUCUUUGCAUGAACACGACCUUUCAGCUGGUGAAUCAGAUGACCAGAAAAAUUCCCCACGUCAGUUUUCUUUAUGGAGUGACCUACACACCAAGAAGAGCCGCUCAGCUCUCAAAACUGCUGCCAUGUAGAUACCUACGUGGAUAAACAAGUAAUGUUUCCACAAAACACUGCAGGUUAGGGCCUCUGCUCAUGGCAGGAUAGAGAAGGCAAAAUAAAGAGGGGG